GUCGAGGGGUAGAGUAGGCUUGCUUACUUGAGACCGGCGCACGGGUGCGUAACGCGUAUGCAACCUACCUUUAUCUGGGGGAUAGCCCGGAGAAAUCCGGAUUAAUACCGCAUAAAAUCACAGAAUGGCAUUAUUCAAUGAUCAAACAUUAAUGGGAUAGAGAUGGGCAUGCGUGUCAUUAGCUAGUUGGCGGGGUAACGGCCCACCAAGGCGACGAUGACUAGGGGAUCUGAGAGGAUGACCCCCCACACUGGUACUGAGACACGGACCAGACUCCUACGGGAGGCAGCAGUAAGGAAUAUUGGUCAAUGGAGGCAACUCUGAACCAGCCAUGCCGCGUGCAGGAAGACUGCCCUAUGGGUUGUAAACUGCUUUUAUCCGGGAAUAAACCACGAUACGUGUAUUGUGCUGAAUGUACCGGAAGAAUAAGGAUCGGCUAACUCCGUGCCAGCAGCCGCGGUAAUACGGAGGAUCCAAGCGUUAUCCGGAUUUAUUGGGUUUAAAGGGUGCGUAGGCGGCCUGUUAAGUCAGGGGUGAAAGACGGUAGCUCAACUAUCGCAGUGCCUUUGAUACUGACGG
rnacentral:rRNA from 1 species